rnacentral:rRNA from 1 species
AGCCCUUGACAUGGACGUCGCGACUUCAGAGAUGAAGUUUUCGGUUCGGCCGGACGUUACAC